rnacentral:rRNA from 1 species
CGGGGUGAGUAAUGUCUGGGAAACUGCCUGAUGAGGGGGAUAACUACUGGAAACGGUAGCUAAUACCGCAUAACGUCGCAAGACCAAAGUGGGGGACCUUCGGGCCUCAUGCCAUAAGAUGUGCCCAGAUGGGAUUAGCUAGUAGGUGGGGUAACGGCUCACCUAGGCGACGAUCCCUAGCUGGUCUGAGAGGAUGACCAGCCACACUGGAACUGAGACACGGUCCAG